UACGUAGGGGGCCAGCGUUGUCCGGAAUCAUUGGGCGUAAAGCGCGCGUAGGCCGUCAGGUAAGUCCGGUGUGAAAGUCAUAGGCUCAACCUAUGGAUGCCGCUGGAAACUGCCUGACUUGAGUCCGGGAGGGGCGAGUGGAAUUCCUGGUGUAGCGGUGAAAUGCGCAGAUAUCAGGAGAACACCAAUGGCGAAGGCAGCUCGUGAC
rnacentral:rRNA from 1 species